rnacentral:tRNA from 1 species
GGUAGCAUGGCCGAGCGGUCUAAGGCGCUGGUUUAAGGCACCAGUCAUUUCGAAUGGCGUGGGAUUCGAAUCCCACUGCUGCCA